UUCUGUUUAGAAUAUCUUUUCUAUUUACAGAAACAACCAGACCAUGUUCCUUACAUACACUGUAUUUGCCUUCAUGUCUAUACACUAACAUUAGAUUAAAAACAUGUACUCCAAUAGUACAGAUGACUAUGGUUACAUAUUGAAAUUAUGCUGACUACAUUCAAUUUUUCAUGUACGAAACAUACAAACAUACAUACACACACACUUGUCUACAAGAAUGCAUGCAUAUAGAAAAUGUUAAAUAGUUAUUUAAAAUUGUGCUUAUGCUCAUAUAUGUACUAAGAAAUGCAUACAUACUUGUAUUUUGUAUGACUAUUGCCACACUGUAUUAAUCUGCUAUAUAUUGUAAAUUAUGUGCCUUGACUAAACCAUAACCUCAUUGCAUAUCAAAACACGUCUUCCAUGCCACAUUGAUGAUGCUUUGUGUAACAUAUCGAAAAUUUUGUACAACAUUUCACCAUAACUUAUAUUAUCAUGCUUUUAAAAAGCUGCUAUUCUUUUGGUCCAUGUAGCCUCAGUAUUUGAAUAAUGAUUUCUCAUGUCAACAUAAAUUGUAAAGGAGUGCAUAGCUGAUUGAAUCACAAAAUAUUUGAAAUAUGAAAAGCAGGAGUUAGAGUUAACAUUAAGGUAUAAUAAUUAAACACUAUAAGGCACUUUUGGGUGGCAGCUUACCAUUUCUACCAUUCAUUGAGAUCCUAAAACCAAGCUGCUAUGUAAAAAGCAUUGGUGUGGAUGCUGGUGCCACGUAAAAAAGCACUCAGUAUACUUUAAAGUGGUUGGCAUCAGGAAGGGCAUCCAGUCGUAGAAUCCAAGCCAAACAGGCUGUGGAACAUUGUGUGGCCCCUGGCCUUGCCAGUCCCUAUCAAACGUCCAACCCAUGCCAGCAUGGAAAACAUGUUGGAUGAUGAUGAUGAUACUGUUCUUGUAGGAGUUUAAUAUUAAUUUGAAGUAUAUUUAGAUACUGAAACUGGGGUGUUGUAGUAAAUAUAUUGAAAGUAUUUGGUAGUUUUUUUUUGUUGUUUUUUUGUUGUCUUCCUUUAUGUUCUGAGUUCAAAUCCAGCUCGGGUUCACUUAACAUUUAAUCUCUUUGGAUUUGAUAAAUUAUCUACUGAGACUGAAAUAGUUGACUAUGGACUCCACUUCUGUACAAAAUUUUGACUUGUGUUCUUAUAUCAGUGGAUGCAGCCAUGCUUGGGCUCCACCUUGAAGGUUGUAGCCAAAUAAAUUGACUCCAGCACUUAAUUGAAGCCUGGUACUUAUUAUAUCAGUCUCUUUUGCUGAUCUACUAAGUCACAGAGACAUAAACUAACAUCAGUUGUCAAGUAUUGGUGGGGACAAACACAAAGACACAUAGAGGACCAGCUUCUUUCAGUUUUCUUCUACGAAAUCCACCCACAUGGCUUUGGUUGGCCUGAAGCUAUAAUGGAAAACACUUGUUCAAGGUACUGUGCAGUGGGACUGAAUCCAAGACCAUGUGGUUGGGAACCAGAUUUCUUACCACACAGCCAUACCUGUGUGUGUGUUAAAAAUCAUAAAUUAAAUGGAUGAGGCUGAUAGCUAAAAUGGUAGAGUGCUAGACCAAAUUUCUGAGUUUAUGGAUUUAUUAUGUGUAAUUGAAGGUUCAGUAUUUGUUGUUGACUUAUCUCCAGUAUAGUUGGAGAAUAUCUUGUCUUGUAGAAUUUUAUUAUAAAGGAGUGCUGAAAAGUUCCUGGUGUUAAGGGUAUUGUGAAAGGCCUGGUUGGAGGCCCAACCUUCCGAGUUCUUUACAGAGCUUAGAAAAGCUGGAGGACUGCUGCAACAAGUUUGUGAAUCUGAGAGAAUAUGUUGAAUAAAAUUAUAAUUAACUGA